UCACACUCUCAGUCUGGUAACAGUUAUGGCCACGAAAGUCAUAGCUCGCACUCUCAGUCUGGUAACAGUUAUGGCCACGAAAGUCAUAGCUCACACCCUCAGUCUGGUAACAGUUAUGGCCACGAAAGUCAUAGCUCACACUCUCGGCCCAGUAACAGUUAUGACCAUAGCCCACGCUCUCAAUCCUAUGACAGUGAUGGCAACCAGAGCCACAGUUCACACUCGCAAUCAAAUGCAUCACAUUAGUAGUGAGGAACUAUCACCUGUUAAGAGAUAGGAUUGGCCAGAGUAACCAUGCAGGCUAUGCUUCUGUCAGUGGCAACCAGUGACCAAAACAUGUCGAUUGUUUUAUUUGUCGCUCAUGCUAUUCUCAUGUAUUCUCAAUAGCGAUAUUAUUCUAAAUAAAUCUCUCUUUAACCCAUAGAGAUAUAUGCAGUACCAUUUUUAGAAUAAUCAUCCAUCGCUUCAGACGGAUCAAUCAUCCAUCGCUCCGGCUAGAUGACAUCCGUCUCUUCAACCUCAUGUAUCAUCCAUCGCUUUGGCUGGAUGAUACACGCUGCUCAGACCUAGCUUACGACCCGCGAAUCUAAGCGAUGGUUACAAAAUCCAAUUUACGUCCAAAGUGACUAAAAUUGCGAUUACAAGUCUAGUUUACGAUUUAUGAGUCCAAAGUGCGACUUAAGAAUCUAAAUCGGACUCUCAUUUACGAAUCUAGCCCGAUAUUCCAAAUUUUCGACUACAAUCAACGAUACCCUCGUUUUCAAUCUAUUUUGUCGCUAUGGCCUUAAUAGACCAAGGAUCAUUUUGUCGCCUUGGCUUCAAUGAUCCUAUCCCAUCUUGUCGCUAUGGCCUUGAUAAGGAUCGAGAGUCACUCUGUCGCUAUGGCCGGAGCUUGACUAAUACACCAGGGUUCAAGUCUAGAAUUGUAGUCCCUAUGCUAGUACAAGUUACAAAAUAGAAUAGUUAGAUUUUAUUUUUGUAACACUCUUUCGAAAUCACUACCUACGACUCUAACUAGUACCCUACAUUAGAAAUCUAUUUUGUCGCUUUGGCCUUAAUAGAUCAAGGUCCAUUUUGUCGCUUUGGCCUUAAUGGACCAAGAAUUAUUUUGUCGCUUUGGCCGUAAUAAUUCUUCUAUCUUGUCGCUUUGGC
rnacentral:lncRNA from 1 species